GGUUGUGAACUGUGGGGACAAUCUCCCCCUGCAGAUCCAGCCACGGCAGAUGCCGAAAAACUAUUUAUGAGAAGGAG
rnacentral:ncRNA from 1 species